rnacentral:rRNA from 1 species
AUACGGAGGAUGCGAGCGUUAUCCGGAUUUAUUGGGUUUAAAGGGUGCGUAGGCUGUGCGUUAAGUCAGGGGUGAAAUGCCGUCGCUCAACGACGGAGCUGCCCUUGAUACUGGCGUGCUGGAGUACGGAUGCCGUUGGUGGAAUGCGUGGUGUAGCGGUGAAAUGCUUAGAUAUCACUCAGAACACCGAUUGCGAAGGCAUCUGACGAAUCCGUCACUGACGCUGAGGCACGAAAGCGUGGGGAUAGAACAGGAUUAGAUACCCUGGUAUUCCACGCCGUAAACGAUGAUGACUAACCGUCGGCGAUAGACAGCCGGCGGCCAAGCGAAAGCGAUAAGUCAUCCACCUGGGGAGUACGUCGGCAACGAUGAAACUCAAAGGAAUUGACGGGG